ACGUCUUCUUUAGGCCAAAAAAAAAAAACAAUCACGUCUUUGCUCUGAGGUUGAUGCUGUUGUCCUCUCGAGUUCUGGUUAACGGCGUGCGUCGGUGGUGGGCUCUCCAUUUUGUUGUCUCAUAUGUCGUCGGCGUUUGUCGCUCACUCGCUCCCCUCUCCUCCUUCACUUCAGCUUGUUCGUGUCGUAGGUGGUGGCCGGUGUGCUCAUGGCUUUCACAUCUCAGAGGAUGAACACGGGGCCAAGAACGAGCAUCGGCAACGCAGUCGAUGUCUGGCAGCGGGAGGUCGGCGAACUAUCUGGCAGGAAUUUCGUCCAGGGUCUCGGUGUCUAGGAUGUGUAAUGCACAUCUGUUGUACUUCUACAGUUCUACUUCAUCUUCUCUUAGGUUGGAUAUACCUGCAUAGCUGCUCGCCAAGCAUAGUGGCAAUGUUCUUUAGAGUUGUAAUGAAACUGAGCAAAUUACGUCUGCUUCCCUGCGUGCCAACCCUAAAACAUAGGCUUAACUAUGACUGUACAUUCCUCUAUUAUCUUGGCUUAUCUUCCUUUGUGAAGAGCUUUUCUCAAACACCGAAAUCAUACCAGUUAAACAAAAAGAUAUCCCAUUUAAUUCGAUCUGGCAGAUUAAGUGAGGCGAGAGCUUUGUUUGAUUCCAUGAAGGAGCGAAAAAUCAUUACCUGGAAUUCAAUGAUCAGUGGAUAUGUUCAACGGAGAGAGAUGGCUAAAGCACGUCAAUUGUUCAAUGAGAUGCCUGAGAGGGAUACUGUGUCUUGGAAUUUGAUGAUAUCGGGCUACAUAUCUUGUCAUGUUAGUCGUUAUGUGGAGGAAGGAAGAAAAUUGUUUGAUCUAAUGCCAGAUAGAGAUUGUGUUUCUUGGAAUACUAUGAUUAGUGGGUAUGCAAAAAAUGGGAUGAUGGAUGAGGCUUUGAAUCUAUUUAAUAGAAUGCCUGAACGUAACAUUGUGUCAUGGAAUGCUAUUAUUACUGGGUUUUUAUUGAAUCGUAAUGUGGCUUUGGCAAUUGAUUUUUUCAAGAAGAUGCCUAAGCGUGAUUCAGCAUCUCUUAGUGCACUUAUAUCAGGACUCAUUCAAAAUGGUGAAUUGGAUGUAGCUGCUAGAACUCUGCAUGAAUAUGGGAACAUUGAUGAAGGAGAAGACGAUUUGGUGCAUGCCUACAACACCCUAAUUGCUGGCUAUGGCCAAAAAGGGAGGGUGGAAGAAGCUCGACGCCUUUUUGAUCAAAUCCCAAAUUAUCAAGGCCAAACAGAUGUAGGUAAAAAUAAAUUUAAACGAAAUAUAGUUUCUUGGAAUUCCAUGAUGAUGUGCUAUGUGAAAGUGGGUGAUAUUCUUUCUGCUAGGGACCUCUUUGAUCAAAUGAUAGAGCGAGAUACCUUCUCUUGGAACACCAUGAUCAAUGGAUAUGUUCAAAUUUCAGCUAUGGAAGAGGCUUCAACCCUUUUUGGUAAGAUGCCAAAUCCUGACACUUUUUCGUGGAAUUCAAUAAUAUCUGGAUUUGCACAGAUAGGUGAUUUAAAGCUUGCAAAAGAUUUCUUUGAGAGGAUGCCUCACAAAAGUCUGAUCUCAUGGAACUCAAUAAUAGCAGGCUAUGAGAAAAAUGGUGACUGUAAGGGUGCUAUUAAGCUCUUCUCUCAGAUGAAACUUGAAGGACACAGACCAGAUAGACACACUUUGUCUUCAGUCCUGAGUGUCUCUACUGGUUUAGUGGAUCUUUACCUUGGUAAGCAGGUACACCAGCUUGUCAUGAAGACUUUUAUUCCAGAUGUGCCGGUAAAUAAUUCCCUAAUCACCAUGUACUCUAGAUGUGGAGCAAUUAUUGAGGCACGUAAUGUAUUUAAUGAGAUGGAUCUAAGGAAGGAUGUGAUCUCUUGGAAUGCAAUGAUUGGAGGCUAUGCAUCUCACGGCUUUGCUGUAGAGGCUUUAGAACUUUUUGAAUUGAUGAAGAGAUCCAAAGUUCACCCUACGUAUAUAUCAUUUAUUUCUGUUUUGAAUGCAUGUGCCCAUGUAGGUUUGGUUGAAGAAGGGAAGAGGCAAUUUAAUUCCAUGAUUAAUGAAUAUGGUAUUGAGCCACGAGUUGAGCACUUUGCCUCCCUUGUGGACAUUGUGGGUCGGCACGGGCAACUUGAGGAAGCUUUAAAUUUGAUAAAUAAUAUGCCAUUUGAACCAGAUAAUGCUGUGUGGGGUGCACUCCUAGGUGCUUGUAGAGUCCACAAUAAUGUAGAAUUAGCCCAAGUAGCAGCUGAAGCUUUGAUCAGGCUUGAACCAAAAAGUUCAGCUCCUUUUGUAUUGUUAUAUAAUAUGUAUGCUGAUCUAGGACAAUGGGAUGAUGCAGAGAAAGUGAGAAUGGCAAUGGAAAGAAGAUCAAUCCAGAAGCAAGCAGGAUAAAUAUGUCACCAUACAGUUCCUUCUGCUUUUAUUGUGAUGCUGAAAUUUACCUUCCUACUUUUCUGUUCAAAUAAGAGCUCCCGCAACCCUGGGGCUGAGGGUGGGUUGGGGAAUGAAAAAGAAUGUGCUUCUAAUUCCACAAACUCAGAAUCAAAGCUCUAAAGUAAUUAAUGUCGUGUUAUAGAACCUUGUCCUUUGACUUGAUUUACGCUGUUAGGUGGAAAAGCAGAGGUUCUGUUAACAGUGUAGGCUUCAAUGGAGAUGGUGAAAUAUUGGUGUCAGGGUGUGAUGACAGGAGAGCUAUCCUCUGGGACUGGGAGAUUGGGCAUAUGAAGUUGUCUUUGCAUUCUGGUCGCAUGAGAAAUGUUUUCCCAGAAAAGUUUAUGCCCCACUCAGAUGACCAACGCAUUGUGACUUGUGGUGGUUAUGGGCAGAUGAUGCGGAGUCGAGCAGGAGGGAGAUUCUCAUUUGUGGCUUAGAGCUAUUACCCGGAGGAGAGCAGAUGACAAGCAUGCAUUGCUGAAUAAAGGGUAAUAAGCGCUCUUCUUUUACCAUUUCAUAGAUUGUAAAAGAGAAUCAUUCAGCGAUAUUGCUAUUGAACAGCGGAUAAACUGGCGUGUUUUGCUUUUGGAGCUUUUCUUAUUUCCUACCUUGCCUUUUGUUGUAAUUAGUUACUGCAAAUCAAAUCAAAUUUUUAUAUAUUUUAUUGCAAUAUCAUUGGAAUAUUUUGUGUGUUA